GAGUGUAUAGCUCAGUGGUAAGGCGUGUGCUUAGCAUGCACAGGGUCUUAGGUUCAAUCCCCAGUACCUGCA
rnacentral:tRNA from 1 species